rnacentral:rRNA from 1 species
CCUACGGGAGGCAGCAGUGGGGAAUAUUGGACAAUGGGGGGAACCCUGAUCCAGCCAUGCCGCGUGUGUGAAGAAGGCCUUAUGGUUGUAAAGCACUUUAAGCGAGGAGGAGGCUCUUCUAGUUAAUACCUAGGAUGAGUGGACGUUACUCGCAGAAUAAGCACCGGCUAACUCUGUGCCAGCAGCCGCGGUAAUACAGAGGGUGCGAGCGUUAAUCGGAUUUACUGGGCGUAAAGCGUGCGUAGGCGGCUUUUUAAGUCGGAUGUGAAAUCCCCGAGCUUAACUUGGGAAUUGCAUUCGAUACUGGGAAGCUAGAGUAUGGGAGAGGAUGGUAGAAUUCCAGGUGUAGCGGUGAAAUGCGUAGAGAUCUGGAGGAAUACCGAUGGCGAAGGCAGCCAUCUGGCCUAAUACUGACGCUGAGGUACGAAAGCAUGGGGAGCAAACAGGAUUAGAUACCCUGGUAGUCCAUGCCGUAAACGNUGUCUACUAGCCGUUGGGGCCUUUGGAGGUCUUUAGUGGCGCGAGCGUACGACGAGUAGUAGUAACCGUCCGUGGGUUAGGUUACGGUCGCGAGAACGUUAACGUUACGAAGAGAGUUAGACGNGNGAGAGNGCGACGGACGACGACGAGGAGGAG